rnacentral:rRNA from 1 species
GACGAACGCUGGCGGCGUGCUUAACACAUGCAAGUCGAACGGAAAGGCCCUGCUUUUGUGGGGUGCUCGAGUGGCGAACGGGUGAGUAACACGUGAUUAACCUGCCCUUGACUUUGGGAUAACUUCAGGAAACUGGGGCUAAUACCGGAUAGGAUCUCCUGCUGCAUGGUGGGGGUUGGAAAGUUUCGGCGGUUGGGGAUGGACUCGCGGCUUAUCAGCUUGUUGGUGGGGUAGUGGCUUACCAAGGCUUUGACGGGUAGCCGGCCUGAGAGGGUGACCGGCCACAUUGGGACUGAGAUACGGCACAGACUCCUACGGGAGGCAGCAGUGGGGAAUAUUGCACAAUGGGCGGAAGCCUGAUGCAGCAACGCCGCGUGCGGGAUGACGGCCUUCGGGUUGUAAACCGAUUUCGCCUGUGACGAAGCGUGAGUGACGGUAAUGGGUAAAGAAGCACCGGCUAACUACGUG